GUUAAAGUGCAUUUAGUGGGCUACAUGAUGGUUACAUUGAGUUUAUUCUGUCUCACUAUUUCAGGGGCUCACAGGCACUGGACAGCUAAGCAGCAGAUCUGCUGGCAAGUGGUCAGAUUUUUGGAGCCUUAGGGAAGUACAGUACCUUUUGAAUGGUGUUCAGGAAAUUGAGAGUGCUCAACAUCAUUUGCAGUAAAUCACUGGCUUCUGAAGGACUGGGCCUCAGGUUGGGACUCUCCACAGCCUUGAGUUCUGGACCUACCAUUACCACCCUCUCUAGGAUAUGCCACCACUCAGGCUUACAGUGAUCUUCCAGCCUAUCAGCUGCAGAUAUAUAUAUGUAUAUAUACUCAGUUCAGGUCCAAAGGAGUAUUUAACCACUUUGCAGGUACAGAGUACUUCAUUAUGUGCACGAACAGAAAUGCUUAAAUGGAUGAAGCAGCUAUUUACGUCUGAUAGGAGCUAAGUGGGACAUUAAAUUAAUGCCAAACAAAUUCAUGAGACUUUAAUCAAGAAAAAAAAAAUCUAAUGAACAGUAAUUUGAAACACAGCAUUUGGAAAUGUCAGAAUGGUACAUUACAUCCUUAUUAUCCAAAAGAACAGAUGAGUUUAAUAUCCUGGCAGCAUUUUCCUGUGAAGAAGAUAUUAAACAAGAACUGAAAAUGGCAAAAGGUUCUCUCUUCCUUUUCUAUGACAAAGAUUGUACAAGAUGAUGGAACUACACAGAAUA